UGCAUUAGAUUUUGCACGCAUGAAGGCAGAGGGAGGAAGGGACAUUGGGUAAUAGGGGAGACUUAGUAGGCAAGUCAGGAGGGGAUGGGGAAGGGAAGGCUAGAAAUUUCACUAGUUUUAAAAAAUAAUGUUGUUGACUCCCUAAUUGGAGACUCCACAACAUAUCAUUGCCUUAAACACAUUAGAUCUCAACCUCAAACAACUCUUUCUUCUCUCAACUUCCAAUGGCGUAUCAGUUACACCAUCACACAACAUCAAACACAAGUUCGAUGCUUAUACCGUCGACGUGAGGGUGCAAAAAGACGAAACCAUCUUUCUUUAUAUGUCAACUUUAUUCAAUUCUUUGUGUAUAUGUUUUACGGCGGAGAAACCCUAGUCCUUUAAGGUGAUUCCAUCGACUAGUUGCAUCAUGUCAUCAGAGAAUCCAACGAAUCACUGAAAUUCGAUCAAUCCAAUUGACCUUCAGAGUAUCAUCUAUGGAGCAUCGAUUACUCUAUGGUGGGAUACACCUUCAUUUUCUCCAAAUGAUAUUAGAGAGUGAUAUCCAAAACGCCGACACCCUGCAACUCUUUGGGAAAAUGUGAAGCAGACACCAUCCUCAACACGUCAAGACUGGACGUUAUGUGUGGUUGCCCUUCUGCAGUUAAUGAAAUAACUCUGGCACUGGUUAUGGCUCUGCCGCAUACAUUUACUAUGAGCUCUCGAACUAUCUGAGUUUCAAGGAUUGGUAUGUGCUUUUCAUGCUUGAAAUAUUGCUGAAUCAAAUAGCUUUGACCCCUCAGACAUGUUUGGUAUUUUCUAUCCUCUUACUAUCUUAGCAACGGCAUCUGAAACAAGGUGAUAAAAUAUGAAGCAUGUGUUAUCCUCACACGUGGAGGCUGAUGAAUGAAUUGGACUCGCUUAUUCAUGACCUAUGCAACUGCAAUGAUUAAUACAAAUAUCACUCAUAUGACCAAGAUGCUUAGCAUGUUUCUCACAACGACCCCAAAGGAUGACACAAGUAGGUCUAUGGAAAUCUUCUAGUAUUUGUAAAUUCCUCUAUUCCUGUUGCUCUGGUAAAGGUUUAUAUGUCUCCUUCUAUAUUUAGCAAACAAGUCUUCAUGGAUGCAUUUGUCAAUAUAUAGAUUAAAGUAAGACACUUUCCUCAACCCCGUAUCGUAUAUAGGCAGUGUGUUCCUAUAUUGUUAGAAAAUCAGCAAUUAGUUUUUUUCUCUCUGUAUAUAUUAAUCACAACUUUAUUAGUCUUUUUCCAUUUCUUUGUGUCUGUGUCGACAUAGAAAAAAUCGCCCCUCAUCCUAAACGCAACGGAAACAACUCUCAGCAAUCGGUGGUGAAUGUAGUGGCAGCGGCUCAGUCCACUGAAUACCCCUCCAACCAUCUCCUUGAGCAGUUGCAGAUGUUCUUAGCCUACCAACGCCAGGAAUCGAGCAUCCAGAAGAUCAUAAAAGCUGACAAGGAUAUCUGCAUGAUCUCCAUUGAAGAACCAUUUUGUCUGCCAAAACUUGUGAGCUCUUCAUUCUUGAUCUCACCAUUCAUUCCUGGUAUCAUGCUGAGGAAAACAAGUGACGGACUCUGCAGAAGAACGACAUCACUGCUGUAAGUCUUGAUGGUGGUUCUUGAAAUCGCUAAGCUGCUCAAUUUCCUAGAUCUGGUAGGUCCAGAAUAUCCCCAUCUGUUCUUUCUGCUGCUCAAAGAGAUGAUUGUAGGGGUACUCAGCAGACUGAGCUACUGCCACUACAUUCACCGUUGAUAGCUGAGAGUUGCUUUACAUGGCGUAUUGGACGAGGGGAGAUUUUUUCUAUGUUAACACAUACACAGAGAUAUGGAAGAAGUAAACUAAUUACAGAUUUUCAAAAUCUGAUGAAGGUAUAUGUGCUGAUGCUUGAAGUACAGUACAACUACUAGCUGUAGGCAAAUUAGGGGAUGCAUAAACAUGAGAAACUCACACACAUUACUGCCUGAUAACCGCAUAAACUCAGUUGAUCACACACUCUAUUCUAAAGCACGUGAUUACCUUGUUUCCAAGGCGUGAACAAAUGGAAAAGCAUUCUGCAAUGUCAAAACAUUUUAAACAUCAUAAACACCAACAACCCCUCUCAGAAGCUUACAAAACUCUAACAAUAUAGAAGCACACUGCCUAUAUACGGUUACAGGGUAGGGGAAAAGUGUCUUAGAUGAAUCUACAAAUUUACAAAUGCAUCCAUGAGCAGCUUGUUUGUUAAUAUAGUAAGAGGCGCAUAGAGCUUUACCAGAGCCGCAGGAUCAAAGGAGUGAACAAAUAUUAGGAGAUAUUCUUCAGAUUUACUAGUGUCAUCCUUUGGGAUCAUUGUGAGAAACAUGACAAACAUCUUCAUCAUACGAGCGACAUUGGUAUUAGUAUUAGUUCGCUCAGUAAUGACCUUUUCCAGUUCAUGAAGGAGAAAGGCCAUCAUCUAUCAAUUAUGACCUUUUCCAGUUGUUAAGUCUAUAUGAUAUGAUUAUUGUUGGUCUUUUGUUUUGUAAAGUUGACAAUAUUACCUCUUCCCUGGGGAAGACAAUUGGGUUUGGCCUCUCUAUAAUUCUAACUUUUAGGUUGCCUCAAGUACUUGCUAACUUGAUCAGAUUAUGAGGUAUUUGAUUGAAUUUGUAAUCAUGAGAUUUAUGUAUGUAUUUCCUUUUAAUCAUUAUCCUAAUCUGAUAUAUAUGUUA